rnacentral:lncRNA from 1 species
UCCAUUAUUGCUCUUUAUCUUAUCUUUCCAGCUGGCAUUUUGUCUUCUUUAUUCUAGAUGUACCUCUAGAAUAAUAUUAUCUUCUCCAUUGCACCUCGAACAUUGGUGGUCUGGAUAUUUAUGUCCAAUUAUUUUACAGUAUCUUGUUAACAGUUCGUCUGAAAUAAAUCCUUUUUUUUUUAUUGCUCUUGCGGUAGAUUAUUUUUCUGGGUUGAGUAGCGUCAUUAUCCAUUGUCUUACGUCUUCCAUAUCUGCUUGUCGUAGCUCUUUUGAAUUUGAGUAAAUCAUUUGAUGAUCUCUUGAAUAAUAGCUCCAUAUUGGGUUUCCGUUAGUAUAAUUAUUUGCUAAUUCUUGGAUAAUCGUAGCUAGUCCAAU